rnacentral:tRNA from 1 species
AGGUAGGAAUUUUAAACAUUUGAAUUGCAAUCAAUUUAAGCCACUCCUAGGGCCCUGCCUA